UUACGCGUGGCGCAAUGGUAGCGCAUCUCAUUCCUAUACGACCUGAUCGUUGUUGGGGAGUGAAUUACGAGAAGGUUGCGGGUUCGAGUCCCGUCGUGUAAG
rnacentral:tRNA from 1 species